AGCAGUAGCCGCGGGAAUACGAGGGGGGCAAGCGUUGUUCGGAAUUAUUGGGCGUAAAGGGUGCGUAGGCGGUUUGGCAAGUUUGGUGUGAAAUCUUCGGGCUCAACUCGAAGUCUGCAUCGAAAACUGCCGGGCUUGAGUAUGGGAGAGGUGAGUGGAAUUUCCGGUGUAGCGGUGAAAUGCGUAGAUAUCGGAAGGAACACCUGUGGCGAAAGCGGCUCACUGGACCAUAACUGACGCUGAUGCACGAAAGCUAGGGGAGCAAACAGGAUUAGAUACCCCGGUAGUCCCUGUCUCUUAUAA
rnacentral:rRNA from 1 species